rnacentral:rRNA from 1 species
UUUGUGGGGAAUAACGCUCCGAAAGGAGUGGUAAUACCGCAUGAGAUCCAUGGCUGGGAUGCUGUGGAUGAAACCUGGGGACCGCAAGGCCUGGGGCAAGGAGAGGAUCCUGCGUCUGAUUAGCUAGUUGGUGAGGUAAUGGCCCACCAAGGCGACGAUCAGUAGCCGGCCUGAGAGGGUGAUCGGCCACACUGGAACUGAGACACGGUCCAGACUCCUACGGGAGGCAGCAGUGGGGAAUUUUGCGCAAUGGGCGAAAGCCUGACGCAGCAACGCCGCGUGGGUGAUGAAGGUCUUCGGAUCGUAAAACCCUGUCGUCGGGGACGAAGGUUUGGGCGUUAAUAGCGUUCAAGCUUGACGGUACCCGGAGAGGAAGCCCCGGCUAACUCUGUGCCAGCAGCCGCGGUAAUACAGAGGGGGCAAGCGUUAUUCGGAAUUAUUGGGCGUAAAGGGCGCGUAGGCGGCUUUUUAAGUGAGAUGUGUAAUCCCCGAGCUCAACUUGGGAACUGCAUCUCAUACUGGGAGGCUAGAGUACUGGAGAGGGUGGUAGAGUUCCACGUGUAGCGGUGAAAUGCGUAGAGAUGUGGAGGAAUACCAGUGGCGAAGGCGGCCACCUGGACA